AACGAACGCUGGCGGCAGGCCUAACACAUGCAAGUCGAGCGCGCCCUUCGGGGUGAUCGGCUUCCGGGUUAGUAACGCGUGGGAACGUGCCCUUGUGUGUAGAAUAGCCUCGGGAAACUGAGAGUAAUACCGUACACGUGCUUUGGCGGAAUGAUCUAUCGAUAAAGGAUCGGACCGCGUUGGAUUAGGUAGUUGGUGAGGUAAUGGCCUACCAAGCCGACGAUUCAUAGCUGGAUUGAGAGGAUGAACAGCCACACUGGGACUGAGACACGGCCCAGACUCCUACGGGAGGCAGCAGUGGGGGAUAUUAGACAAUGGGGGCAACCCUGAUCUAGCGAUGCCGCGUGAGUGAUGAAGGCCUUAGGAUUGUAAAGCUCUGUCAGCUGGGAAGAUAAUGACGGUACCAGACGAAGAAGCACCGGCUAACUACGUG
rnacentral:rRNA from 1 species